rnacentral:rRNA from 1 species
AUUGAACGCUGGCGGCAUGCCUUACACAUGCAAGUCGAACGGUAACAGGUCUUCGGAUGCUGACGAGUGGCGAACGGGUGAGUAAUAUAUCGGAACGUGCCCAGUAGUGGGGGAUAGCCCGGCGAAAGCCGGAUUAAUACCGCAUACGACCUUAGGGUGAAAGGGGGGGAUCGCAAGACCUCUCGCUAUUGGAGCGGCCGAUAUCAGAUUAGGUAGUUGGUGGGGUAAAGGCCUACCAAGCCUGCGAUCUGUAGUUGGUCUGAGAGGACGACCAGCCACACUGGGACUGAGACACGGCCCAGACUCCUACGGGAGGCAGCAGUGGGGAAUUUUGGACAAUGGGCGCAAGCCUGAUCCAGCAAUGCCGCGUGCAGGAAGAAGGCCU